UCAGGCUUUGCUUGGUGGUGAGAGUGGCGAACGGGUGAGUAAUGCGUGACCGACCUGCCCCAUACACCGGAAUAGCUCCUGGAAACGGGUGGUAAUGCCGGAUGCUCCGACUCCUCGCAUGGGGUGUCGGGAAAGAUUUCAUCGGUAUGGGAUGGGGUCGCGUCCUAUCAGGUAGUCGGCGGGGUAACGGCCCACCGAGCCUACGACGGGUAGCCGGCCUGAGAGGGCGACCGGCCACAUUGGGACUGAGAUACGGCCCAGACUCCUACGGGAGGCAGCAGUAGGAA
rnacentral:rRNA from 1 species